rnacentral:rRNA from 1 species
GAUGAACGCUGGCGGCGUGCCUAAUACAUGCAAGUCGAGCGAACAGACGAGGAGCUUGCUCCUCUGACGUUAGCGGCGGACGGGUGAGUAACACGUGGAUAACCUACCUAUAAGACUGGGAUAACUUCGGGAAACCGGAGCUAAUACCGGAUAAUAUAUUGAACCGCAUGGUUCAAUAGUGAAAGACGGUUUUGCUGUCACUUAUAGAUGGAUCCGCGCUGCAUUAGCUAGUUGGUAAGGUAACGGCUUACCAAGGCAACGAUGCGUAGCCGACCUGAGAGGGUGAUCGGCCACACUGGAACUGAGACACGGUCCAGACUCCUACGGGAGGCAGCAGUAGGGAAUCUUCCGCAAUGGGCGAAAGCCUGACGGAGCAACGCCGCGUGAGUGAUGAAGGUCUUCGGAUCGUAAAACUCUGUUAUUAGGGAAGAACAAAUGUGUAAGUAACUAUGCACGUCUUGACGGUAGCUAAUCAGAAAGCCACGGCUAACUACGUG